AGCUCACAAGGGUGAAAACUGGUGCUUAAGUACAUGUUGUUAUUGUCAUCAGUCUUAAUGUAACUUCAGAAGCCCUACCUCCCUUUGGGAAAUCAGAGCAUAGUUUUAUUCAAGGUUAGUAUGGAUAUUCCUAGCUGAAAAGAAAUUCUCUAAAGCAUAUAGGAAUAUAGAAGUUUGGAUCAAGUUUGCUAGGUUAUGUUUGUAUUUUCAACUGCAUAACUAACUGUCUUCUUCCCCAAAUCAGGGCAAACAUAUUACAUUUGGUUAACUGUUGCACAUUUGCUCAAAAAAAAAACACUAAGUUGAUCUUGGAAGAGUAUUACCAAUUUAAAAAUAUCUUCAAGGCACCUGCAGUGAUUGUGAUUGAUGGGGAUGGCAGAUGAUUAAAAAUAUUUGAAUAUUGGAAGCAGCUUUGCAAUAGUGACAGCCCAUGUGGGGUUAAUGAGGUGCCCCGAUUGCUGUGAACUUCUUCUUGCCCCACCUGUGAAAAAUGCCCAGUGGUGAAGAGGGAGGCUGAAGGGGAGUGAGGUGAUAUAAUCUGGUCAGUUGCUCAUGUCUGACAUCUUGCAUUUGAGCACUGGGACUGAAUGCAAGGAGCAUGUGAUCUGAUGCUUUGUGAGCGAUGAGACCAUGGUUAUUGCCGCCAUCAGUCAGCAGAGCAAAUGAGUGGUUAAUGACGAGACUAAAAUGCAUCUUGCUGAAAGUUCAGGUGACUUUGCAAGAUUGUUCAAGAGCACCAUGUUCUGCUACCUUCAUUCAAAAGUUUUUUGAUCUCUUUCAUGGGAUACAGGUUACAUCUAAGUGUGGUUUUACCAUUUAUAAAGACAUACCUGCCAGACCUCCCCACCUUCCUGAAGAACUCUGUGUUCCCUGCUCUAAUAGUAUAUUAUUUUGCAGGACAUUUGUCAAGCCGGCUGGUUGCUGAAAUGCGCUGGAAAGAUCCUCCUGUCACCAGAUAGCACCUGGCGGAGGGCUGGGAACAGUCAACUCUUCCCACUUUGAGCAAAUCUGGGACCAAAAUCCCUUCAGGAUUCACGGAGCUCGGAGGACCAUGUCAGGAACCAGUCGUGUUUAUUUUCAUAUGGUCCUGUUUCUUUUUUCCCCACUGAGAAAUUAUAUUUUCAUGGAACUGACUGAAAAUCAAAUAGAUUCUGUGGAGAAAUAACUUGAAAAGACAUUU
rnacentral:lncRNA from 1 species